AUCGCUUCUCGGCCUUUUGGCUAAGAUCAAAGUGUAGUAUCUGUUCUUAUCAGCUUAACUUCUGGUAUGCUCUCCAUGGGAGGGCGAAGUCGUUAAUCGUAUUUUUGGAGCCGGACGGAGGCUGCGAGGCUUGCUUCUCCUCCGUCACGGGUCGACCCGGUAUCGCAGUUCUUCCGGGACCGGCCCACAUUAU